GACGAACGCUGGCGGCGUGCUUAACACAUGCAAGUCGAACGGAAAGGCCCUGCUUGCAGGGUACUCGAGUGGCGAACGGGUGAGUAACACGUGGGUGAUCUGCCCUGCACUUCGGGAUAAGCUUGGGAAACUGGUUCUAAUACCGGAUAGGACCGCACUUUAGUGUGUGUGGUGGAAAGUUUUUUCGGUGUAGGAUGAGCUCGCGGCCUAUCAGCUUGUUGGUGGGGUAAUGGCCUACCAAGGCGGCGACGGGUAGCCGGCCUGAGAGGGUGUACGGCCACAUUGGGACUGAGAUACGGCCCAGACUCCUACGGGAGGCAGCAGUGGGGAAUAUUGCACAAGGGGCGCAAGCCUGAUGCAGCGACGCCGCGGGGGGGAUGAAGGCCUUCGGGUUGUAAACUCCUUUCGCUAGGGACGAAGCUUUUUGUGACGGUACCUAGAUAAGAAGCACCGGCUAACUACGUG
rnacentral:rRNA from 1 species